rnacentral:rRNA from 1 species
CAGUAGCCGCGGUAAUGCGUAGGUGGCAAGCGUUGUCCGGAAUUAUUGGGCGUAGAGGGCCCGCAGGCGGUUUCUUAAGACUGAUGUGAAAGCCCCCGGCUCAACCGGGGAGGGUCAUUGGAAACUGGGAAACUUGAGUGCAGAAGAGGAGAGUGGAAUUCCACGUGUAGCGGUGAAAUGCAUAGAGAUGUGGAGGAACACCAGUGGCGAAGGCGACUCUCUGGUCUGUAACUGACGCUGAGGAGCGAAAGCGUGGGGAGCGAACAGGAUUAGAUACCCGCGUAGUCCCUGUCUCUUAUAA